AGCGAACGCUGGCGGCAGGCCUAACACAUGCAAGUCGAACGAAGUCUUCGGACUUAGUGGCGGACGGGUGAGUAACACGUGGGAACGUGCCUUUAGGUUCGGAGUAACUCAGGGAAACUUGUGCUAAUACCGAAUGUGCCCUUCGGGGAAAGAUUUAUCGCCUUUAGAGCGGCCCGCGUCUGAUUAGCUAGUUGGUGAGGUAAAGGCUCACCAAGGCGACGAUCAGUAGCUGGUCUGAGGGGAUGAUCAGCCACAUUGGGACUGAGACACGGCCCAAACUCCUACGGGAGGCAGCAGUGGGGAAUCUUGCGCAAUGGGCGAAAGCCUGACGCAGCCAUGCCGCGUGAAUGAUGAAGGUCUUAGGAUUGUAAAAUACUUUCACCGGGGAAGAUAAUGACGGUACCCGGAGAAGAAGCCCCGGCUAACUUCGUGCCAGCCGCCGCGGUAA
rnacentral:rRNA from 1 species